UGCAGAGAUCCUAAAUAUCCUAAAGGCACCAGAUCCCAUCUGAUUUUGGAAGCUAAGCAGGAUCAACUCUGGUUAGUAAUUGGAAGGAAUAUUUAUACACAUAAUAAAAGUGAAAAUCUGUAU
rnacentral:rRNA from 11 species